rnacentral:rRNA from 1 species
AUUGAACGCUGGCGGCAGGCCUAACACAUGCAAGUCGAACGAGUGGCGGACGGGUGAGUAAUGUAUGGGAACCUGCCUGAUGGAUGGGGAUACCUACUGGAAACGGUAGUUAAUACCGCAUACCAUCGGAUGUGCCCAUAUGGGAUUAGCUAGUAGGUGGGGUAAAGGCUCACCUAGGCGACGAUCCCUCGCUGGUCUGAGAGGAUGACCGGCCACACUGGAACUGAGACACGGUCCAGACUCCGACGGGAGGCAGCAGUGGGGAAUAUUGCACAAUGGGCGCAAGCCUGAUGCAGCCAUGCCGCGUGUAUGAAGAAGGCCUUCGGGUUGUAAAGUACUUUCAGCGGGGAGGCGUUACCCGCAGAAGAAGCACCGGCUAACUCCGUGCCAGCAGCCGCGGUAAUAC